rnacentral:rRNA from 1 species
UGCCAGCAGCCGCGGUAAUACGUACCGGACAAACGUUAUUCGGAAUCACUGGGCUUAAAGAGCGCGUAGGCGGUCUAACAGGUGGGGUGUGAAAGCCCACGGCUCAACCGUGGAAUUGCGCUCCAAACCGUUAGGCUUGAGGGAGACAGGGGUGAGCGGAACUGAUGGUGGAGCGGUGAAAUGCGUUGAUAUCAUCAGGAACACCAGUGGCGAAGGCGGCUUUCUGGACCGAUACUGACGCUGAGACGCGAAAGCGUGGGGAGCAAACAGGAUUAGAUA